rnacentral:piRNA from 1 species
UUCUAGGUCUAGUAUUUUCUCCUAGGGAAA